GGGGAUGUGACUCAGUGGUGAAAGUGCUUGCCUAGCAUGCAUGAGGCUCUGAGUUCAAUCCCAGCACCAGCA
rnacentral:tRNA from 1 species